AUCGACAAGAUGGAGGAAGGUGGGGAUGAACGUCAAGUCGAUCAUGGCCCUUAUGUCCAGGGCGACACACGGUGCUACAAUGGCCGGCACAGCGGGAAGCGGAGGGCGACCCUGAGCGGAUCCCUUGAAAGCCGGUCCCAGUUCGGAUUGCAGUCUGCAACUCGACUGCAUGAAGUUGGAAUCGCUAGUAAUCGCGGAUCAGCCAAGCCGCGGUGAAUACGUUCCCGGGCCUU
rnacentral:rRNA from 1 species